AUGUUGAUUCCAUUCCGUCUGGAGUUGCUCAUCUCCACACUCGUGCUACUUGUUCCCAUGUACUUGUACUUUAGGUCUCGUAGUAGAUCAAAGAACCCAGCAGCUCUCCCCAUAAACUGGCCAAUAAUACACAUGUUCCCUUCCUUGCUGGUCAACGUCCACAACUUGCUUGAAUAUUUCACCUUGGUUCUCGCCGGUAACGGCCACAACUUCAGGGCGCAUGGCCCACCUGGGACCGGAAUGAGGUUCUUCGUUACCUGCGACCCUGCAAACAUCCGCCACAUCUUCACGACAAACUACACCAACUUCCCCAAGGGCACGGAGUUCGCUGCCAUUUUCGACAUCAUGGGUGACAGCCUCUUCAACGUCGACGGCGCACGAGCUCUUCGUCCACGAGUGAAGAUCCAUACUAUACUCAGCAGCCCGUGGUUGGUUGCCAGUAUGGAGGCUUGCUGCCGCGACAAGGAACUAAUGUCGAGGUUUAUGUUUGACUUGGCCACUACGGCUCUAUUUAGCAUGGACCCUGGCCUUCUUUCCACAGACAUGCCGCCCAUGGACAUCGCAGUUGCCAUGGAUACGGUCAUGGAAGUAGGCUUUUUUCAGCACAUGAUGCCGGCCUCUUGCUGGAAGGUGAUGAGGUGGCUAAACAUUGGGCCUGAGAGAAAGCUUGGUGCAGCGCACACAGUACUAUGA
rnacentral:rRNA from 1 species